rnacentral:rRNA from 1 species
AUGGCUGUUCGCCAUUUAAAGUGGUACGCGAGCUGGGUUUAGAACGUCGUGAGACAGUUCGGUCCCUAUCUGCCGUGGGCGCUGGAGAACUGAGGGGGGCUGCUCCUAGUACGAGAGGACCGGAGUGGACGCAUCACUGGUGUUCGGGUUGUCAUGCCAAUGGCACUGCCCGGUAGCUAAAUGCGGAAGAGAUAAGUGCUGAAAGCAUCUAAGCACGAAACUUGCCCCGAGAUGAGUUCUCCCUGAGACUUUAAGUCUCCUGAAGGAACGUUGAAGACGACGACGUUGAUAGGCCGGGUGUGUAAGCGCAGCGAUGCGUUGAGCUAACCGGUACUAAUGAACCGUGAGGCUUAACCUUACAACGCCGAAG